UACGGGGGGAGCAAGCGUUGUUCGGAUUUAUUGGGCGUAAAGGGUGCGUAGGCGGCGCGGUAAGUCGGGUGUGAAAUCUCGGGGCUUAACUCCGAAACUGCAUUCGAUACUGCCGUGCUUGAGGACUGGAGAGGAGACUGGAAUUUACGGUGUAGCGGUGAAAUGCGUAGAUAUCGUAAGGAAGACCAGUGGCGAAGGCGGGUCUCUGGACAGUUCCUGACGCUGAGGCACGAAGGUCAGGGGAGCAAACGGG
rnacentral:rRNA from 1 species